rnacentral:rRNA from 1 species
GAACGAACGCUGGCGGCGUGCUUAACACAUGCAAGUCGAGCGGGAAAGUUUCCGUUCGGGAAGCGAGUACAGCGGCAGACGGGUGAGUACAACGUAGGUAACCUACCCUCGAGACCGGGAUAACCUGUCGAAAGACGGGCUAAUACCGGAUAAGACCACAAGGGCUGCGGCCUUUGAGGUAAAAGAUGGCCUCUGCUUGCAAGCUAUCACUUGGGGAUGGGCCUGCGCGCCAUUAGCAGUUGGUGAGGUAACGGCUCACCAAGGC